ACCCGCUGAACUUAAGCAUAUCACUAAGCGGAGGAAAAGAAAUUAACGAAGAUUGCCUCAGUAGCGGCGAGCGAAGUGGCAAAAGCUCAAGUUAAAUCUGUGGUCUUUGAUCACCGAAUUGUAAUCUAAAGGGGUUAACAAAAGGGAAGAUUGAGGCAUAAGUUGCUUGGAACAGCACGCCAAAGAGGGUGAUAGCCCCGUAUUUGGCCUUCAUCGACCUGAAUGUUGACUUUCAUAGAGUCGGGUUGUUUGGGAUUGCAGCCCUAAAUGGGAGAUAAACUUCUUCUAAGGCUAAAUAUCGAUGGGAAACCGAUAGCAAACAAGUACUGUGAAGGAAAGAUGAAAAGAACUUUGAAAAGAGGGUUAAAAGACUUGAAAUCGUUGAGAAGGAAGCGGUAGAAGUGGAUUAUUUGGCUAUGAAGUAAGCCACGUGUUUGGUAAUCUGCAGCGGUGAUGUACGUAAAUGGCUAGCUGUUGCAGUGUUGUCGACUUGUGGUGAUUUCAUGGUCAAAAGACAGAUCUAUGUCUGUGCAUAUCGGAAUCAGGGUAGUUGAAGAUUAAGCUUCUAUCCAAAACGAUAUGUUGGCAUAUCUCUUCUGUCAAAACGGCUUC
rnacentral:rRNA from 1 species